UACGGGGGGUCCAAGCGUUGUUCGGAAUCACUGGGCGUAAAGCGCACGUAGGUGGCUUUUCAAGUCUGUUGUGAAAGCCCAGGGCCUAACCCUGGAAGUGCAGCAGAUACUGUUAAGCUUGAGUAUGGGAGAGGAUAGUGGAAUUUCUGGUGUAGUGGUGAAAUACGUAGAUAUCAGAAGGAACACCAGUGGCGAAGGCGGCUAUCUGGCCCAAUACUGACACUAAGGUGCGAAAGCGUGGGGAUCAAACAGG
rnacentral:rRNA from 1 species